GGCGAACGCUGGCGGCAGGCUUAACACAUGCAAGUCGAGCGGGCAUAGCAAUAUGUCAGCGGCAGACGGGUGAGUAACGCGUGGGAACGUACCUUUUGGGUCGGAACAACUGAGGGAAACUUCAGCUAAUACCGGAUAAGCCCUUACGGGGAAAGAUUUAUCGCCGAAAGAUCGGCCCGCGUCUGAUUAGCUAGUUGGUGAGGUAAUGACUCACCAAGGCGACGAUCAGUAGCUGGUCUGAGAGGAUGAUCAGCCACAUUGGGACUGAGACCCGGCCCAAACUCCUACGGGAGGCAGCAGUGGGGAAUAUUGGACAAUGGGCGCAAACCUGAUCCAGCCAUGCCGCGUGAGUGAUGAAGGCCCUAGGGUUGUAAAGCUCUUUUGCGCGGGAAGAUAAUGACGGUACCGCAAGAAUAAGCCCCGGCUAACUGCGUGCCAGCAGCCGCGGUAA
rnacentral:rRNA from 1 species